rnacentral:rRNA from 1 species
AUGCUUCUUGAGGAUGAUGGCAAAAUUGAUCCAGUGUGCUUUUUGGACUUCGUUAAGAAGCAAUUUGAUGUGAUAGCAGUAGCUCUGAAAAGAUGCAUCAUGAAUUUGUGGGUUCACCUUCCUAGGAGGUGCUUUUCUCGUGACAGUGCCAUAAAUAUAUCUACAUUGCUUCAUAUGCUGGAAAUUUUGGUGCUCUUCUGUGCAACGUAG